AUCAUUUUUUUUUUAAAUAUAAAACUUUCAUGGUUGCCCAACAACCAGAUUACACAGGUUUUUUUCCAACCAGCACAUAUUUUUGUUGUUUCUUUACUACAAUUAUCGGCUUGAAGAGCAUUCAAGUCUCUGACUCACC